GAACGACAACGAACGAACGAACACGAACACAGAUUACAGAUUCACAGAUAGCGCACGAUUUGUCAAAAGUCAUGUUCCACCAAUCACAAUGCCGAUAUCAGCGCCUCUGACUAAACGGAAGGAAAAUAAAUACGAUUACAUGUUUUUUAUUAGAGUUAGCGGGGCAUGAAUGCGAGCAACGAUCAAACAUCAAACAUGGCGCAUGGUCAUGCGCAAAGAAAUUUGGAGCCCGAAAUAUUCCACGCUUUCGCUUCUUGUUGGAUGGAGUAUUCUUUGAUAUAGGCCGUUCCAACAUGCUGUCAAAAUUAAAUCAAUAUGGCUGCUGGAAGUAAAACAUAAAUGUUAUUCUAUAGGUUCUUAAUGUGUUUUAGAUGGUUUUAGAUCAUUUUUGUUGUGUUUCUUUGUAAUUUUGUGUUGUACAAAGAUUAAUUUAACAUUUUCUCUGGAAGUAUUAAUUUAGAAAGAUAAUAUGCUUCAUUGGUGUUGUGUUUUGAAGUGUGAAAUGCAAAGUAAUCCUGAUAAAGUCAAGAUAAAGUUCACUUUUAAACUGAACUAAAUACGGUAUCAGCUGAGAGACAACAAUGGUUAAAUGCAAUACAAUGUAAGGUUUUACUAGCGAAAUGAAAAUUCUCCUGUCCUGUCUGCUGUAAUAAUUUUAUAUCUGGAAAACCAGCCGACUUAAUCGAUAAUAACAAUCCAGAUUGGGUUCCUUCAAUAAAUAUGGGCUAUAAACACAAUGAAAUAAGUUCCCCAAAAUCUAAAAUGAAGUGGUAUCAAAGGAGAAUUAAAAGAAAAAAUAUUCAUAUUGAAAUUAUUUAUAAGGCACUGGACUGUCUUAAAUUCUACAAAUACUAGUUGGAAUCAGCUGAGAGAAGUGGUGUACAAAAAAACUAGGAAGGGAAUGGAAUAUGUGGCUACGAAAGGCAAAAGAAAUGAAUACAAAGCAAAUGUGACACAUUUUUUUAAAAAUAUGUAGGAAUAUCAGUAAACUACAUUAAAAAUGUAUGAAAAGAUUUUGUACAAUAAAAAUGUUUAUAUUUA